rnacentral:miRNA from 1 species
UUUGUGUAUGUGUGUAUGUGCAUGUAUGUUUACACACAUACAUAGAUCUAAU